GGCUUCGUAGCUCAGCUAGUAGAGCGCUUGCCACGUUUUGGCAUGGUGUUUUUGUCGCUGGUUCGAAUCCAGCCGAAGUCC
rnacentral:tRNA from 1 species